rnacentral:pre_miRNA from 1 species
UUUGUACUCCCUCCGUCCCAAAAUUCUUGUCUUAGAUUUGUCUAGAUACGGAUGUAUCUAAUACUAAAACGUGACUUGAUACAUCCGUAUUUAGACAAAUCUAAGACAAGAAUUAUGGGACGGAGGGAGUAUAUG